UGAAUCUAUGAACGCAACGGAACUGGAAAAAGACCAACCAUUAUCCCUCCAACCUUGCUCCCAGCCGGGGUUUACCGAGCCAGUGCCUCACGACACUGCUGGUA
rnacentral:RNase_P_RNA from 1 species